AGAGUUUGAUCAUGGCUCAGGACGAACGCUGGCGGCGUGCUUAAUACAUGCAAGUCGAGCGAGGUUACUGUUUCGGAUCCCUUCGGGGUGAAGAAGCUUUAACCUAGCGGCGGACGGGUGAGUAACGCGUGGGUAACCUACCCCAAAGUCCGGGAGAACAGCGGGAAACCGCUGCUAAUACCGGAUGCCUUUACCUUGGGGCAUCUUGAGGUAAAGAAAGGUAACGCUUUGGGAUGGGCCCGCGUCCCAUUAGCUAGUUGGUGAGGUAACGGCUCACCAAGGCGACGAUGGGUAGCCGGCCUGAGAGGGUGGACGGCCACACUGGGACUGAGACACGGCCCAGACUCCUACGGGAGGCAGCAGUAGGGAAUAUUGCGCAAUGGACGGAAGUCUGACGCAGCGACGCCGCGUGAGCGAUGAAGGUCUUCGGAUCGUAAAGCUCUGUCCUUGGGGAAGAAGGCGAAAGCUUGACGGUACCCAAGAAGAAAGCCCCGGCUAACUACGUGCCAGCAGCCGCGGUAAUACGUAGGGGGCGAGCGUUGUCCGGAAUUACUGGGCGUAAAGGGUGCGUAGGCGGCCCUUUAAGUCGGAUGUGAAAGCCCGCGGCUUAACCGCGGAAUGGCAUUCGAAACUGGAGGGCUUGAGUGUCGGAGAGGGUAGUGGAAUUCCCAGUGUAGCGGUGAAAUGCGUAGAUAUUGGGAGGAACACCAGUGGCGAAGGCGACUACCUGGACGAUAACUGACGCUGAGGCACGAAAGCUAGGGGAGCAAACAGGAUUAGAUACCCUGGUAGUCCUAGCCGUAAACGAUGGGUACUAGGUGUGGGUGGUUUCGAUACCAUCCGUGCCGUAGUUAACGCAUUAAGUACCCCGCCUGGGGAGUACGUGCGCAAGCAUGAAACUCAAAUGAAUUGACGG
rnacentral:rRNA from 1 species